UGGGGAAUAUUGGACAAUGGGCGAAAGCCUGAUCCAGCCAUGCCGCGUGUGUGAAGAAGGUCUUCGGAUUGUAAAGCACUUUAAGUUGGGAGGAAGGGCAGUAAGCGAAUACCUUGCUGUUUUGACGUUACCGACAGAAUAAGCACCGGCUAACUCUGUGCCAGCAGCCGCGGUAAUACAGAGGGUGCAAGCGUUAAUCGGAAUUACUGGGCGUAAAGCGCGCGUAGGUGGUUCGUUAAGUUGAAUGUGAAAGCCCCGGGCUCAACCUGGGAACGGCAUCCAAAACUGGCGAGCUGGAGUAGGGCAGAGGGUGGUGGAAUGUCCUGUGUAGCGGUGAAAUGCGUAGAUAUAGGAAGGAACACCAGUGGCGAAGGCGACCACCUGGGCUCAUACUGACACUGAGGUGCGAAAGCGUGGGGAGCAAACAGG
rnacentral:rRNA from 1 species